UACAGAGGUCUCAAGCGUUGUUCGGAUUCAUUGGGCGUAAAGGGUGCGUAGGCGGCGCGGUAAGUCGGGUGUGAAAUCUCGGAGCUUAACUCCGAAACUGCAUUCGAUACUGCCGUGCUUGAGGACUGGAGAGGAGACUGGAAUUUACGGUGUAGCGGUGAAAUGCGUAGAUAUCGUAAGGAAGACCAGGUGGCGAAGGCGGGUCUCUGGACAGUUCCUGACGCUGAGGCACGAAGGUCCAGGGGAGCAAACGGG
rnacentral:rRNA from 1 species